GAUGAACGCUGGCGGCGUGCCUAAUACAUGCAAGUCAAGCGAACAGACGAGGAGCUUGCUCCUCUGACGUUAGCGGCGGACGGGUGAGUAACACGUGGAUAACCUACCUAUAAGACUGGGAUAACUUCGGGAAACCGGAGCUAAUACCGGAUAAUAUAUUGAACCGCAUGGUUCAAUAGUGAAAGACGGUUUUGCUGUCACUUAUAGAUGGAUCCGCGCCGCAUUAGCUAGUUGGUAAGGUAACGGCCUACCAAGGCGACGAUGCGUAGCCGACCUGAGAGGGUGAUCGGCCACACUGGAACUGAGACACGGUCCAGACUCCUACGGGAGGCAGCAGUAGGGAAUCUUCCGCAAUGGGCGAAAGCCUGACGGAGCAACGCCGCGUGAGUGAUGAAGGUCUUCGGAUCGUAAAACUCUGUUAUUAGGGAAGAACAAAUGUGUAAGUAACUAUGCACGUCUUGACGGUACCUAAUCAGAAAGCCACGGCUAACUACGUG
rnacentral:rRNA from 1 species